UUUAAAAAUUUAAUAGCUUACAAUUUUUAAAUAUUUAUUGCUAAUGGAAAACUUUACCAAUCAAGAACUGGCGGAUAUGCAUUUGGCAUACGAAGCAACAAACUGCAAUGCACGAGCAGCAUCGCGGUUGUAUCAUGAACGUUAUCCCGAACGACAGCAUCCUGGAUACAAAAAGUUUAUUGCGGUUCAUCGGCGGCCCGCUGAGACAGGCAUGUUUAAGAUCAAGAUGCAUGAUACUGGUGUUGCUCGAACCAUAAGAACUCGAAUUUGAAAAAGAGGUGCUUCAGCGAGUUGCCGAUGAACCAUUAAAUAGCACACGUGGCGUCGCUAAGAAUAUGAAUACGAGUAACGCUUCUGUCUGGCGGGUACUACACGAGCAACAAUUCCAUCCUUACCACUUUCAGAAACUUCAAGGUAUGACUGCAGCCAAUUAUCAUCCUAGAGUUCAAUUUUGUAGAUGGCUUCUGGAUCACAUCAUUGCACAACCAAAUUUUUUACGAUAUGUUUUGUGGACCGAUGAAGCCUCUUUCACAAGAGACGGUAUUUUUAAUAGUAGAAAUAGCCAUGUUUGGGACGAAGAAAAUCCUUAUGCAAUUUUUCUAAGAAAAGUCUUUAGUCUACGAAACUCCAGUAGAAUCAGAGCUAGACUUGAUUGGACGAGUAACAGCAGCAUUUGAAAUCAUUCAAAACGAGGAUCAAAUUUUUAGUGUAAUCCGCCGAAAUCAUGUGCGGCGUUUAAAUUGGUGUAUUGAGGUUGGAGGAAGACAUUUUUAACAAUUGUUGUGAUGGUAUCAUAUACAAAAGUUAGAAGAAUAACAAAGUACCAAAGAAAAUCUUAAUGAGGUUAAUUAUGAGACUGGUUCGACAAAUAUUUGAUAAUAGAGAUAAAAGACUUCAAAGGUCCAAUGCGUCAAGAAUAUCUAAAUGUUACAAAGAUGAUGAAAAUUUUGAAACUGAUUAUUUACCAGAUGAUGAAAGAAGUAAGUAGUAGCUUACCAUCAGGCAAGUAGGAUGUAACUGUUAUAGUGAAGACAUCUAUCAAAAGAAAGAGAAAAAGAGACACAUCAACAUGUACAUUUUAUUAUUGCCUUUAAGAAGAAAGUAAAAAAUUAAAGCAAAAAAAUUUUCUUAGUCCCUAAUGUAUAAAUGAGAGAUCAGUCAGAUAUUGGGUAACCAAUACAACUAUUCAUGGAAUGCAAAAAAGAAACUAAAAGAAAAACAAGAAUGCAGAAAAAGGAUGAUGAUAGCUGAAAUUAAUGUCUCUAUUCACCAACCAAAAAAAGAGCAGAGAUUUUUGUUGUUCCUUCAAAGUAGGAUAAAUAUGAAACUCAAAAAUUAUAAAGAACUUGAAGAGCAAUUUGGAGCUUCUUGAAGAACAUAUACCAUAUCAAGA